rnacentral:misc_RNA from 1 species
CGCAAAGGUGUGCCUCUGCAGUGCGAUGUGUUAGAAAAGAGAGAGAUAAAAAAAAACACUUGAGCUGUGAUAUUUAGUGUUAAGUGUAUAUGAGCAUAUGUCAAAAGCAACGAGGCACAAGCCUAGCGGAGCGGGCGCGACUGUCAUGUGACAAGUGCCGCGAGUGACCCAGUGUGAGAGACGCGUGAGUGCCAGAGCGGCGCUCGUCCCCCUCACUCGGCGCGAAGGAUGCUGGCCCUCGCGCGGAUAACGAGAUAAAACGUCCAGGAAACAGAGGAACACGGGAUUUUUGCUCGCAGGGGAAGGGGACCGCGGUCGCCUGCGGUGCCAGUCCAAGAGAGCUUCGGGUGCCAGAGGUAGUGCCAGGCAGGCGGGGGCUUUGAGGUGACACUGGUGAGCUCCACCUGUUACCACCUGUCACUUGCACCAGGUGGGCUGCCAGCAAGCAAGCGAGUGUUGCCAGGUGUGCUGGGGGGCCGCUGCGAGUGCUGAUGCUGGCCGCCACCCGGGGUCCACCAGGCCCCACGCCCGCGCCGCCCACCAUGCCCGAGCCACGCCCACACUCCCACAAGGUCCACCUCCAACACGGUCCCGCGCGCUUCCACAAGCCCUGGUACAACCCACCAUGGGUGAGUGAGAGCAAGGCUUCCAGCAAGUCCGCCGAGAAGGGACACCGAGCUAGGGGCGAGGAUGGCGUGAGCGGGAUGGCCAGCUCUGGAGGAGGCGGCGGGGUGAGUGGGUCGUCGUCGUCGUCGGCGCGGGUGUCGUCGUCCCGGUCCCGCACGGAGGAGAUCGGCAAGUACCGCCUCCUCAAGACCAUCGGCAAGGGGAACUUCGCCAAGGUCAAGCUCGCCAAGCACAUCCCCACCGGCAAGGAGGUGGCUAUAAAAAUUAUAGACAAGACGCAACUUAAUCCAGGGUCGUUACAAAAGCUGUUUCGGGAGGUCCGCAUCAUGAAGAUCCUCGAUCAUCCAAACAUUGUCAAACUCUUCCAAGUGAUAGAAACAGAAAGAACUUUGUACCUGGUGAUGGAGUAUGCUAGUGGUGGGGAGGUAUUCGACUACUUGGUCUUCCAUGGCAGGAUGAAGGAAAAGGAGGCACGGGCAAAAUUUAGACAGAUUGUUUCAGCAGUACAAUAUUGCCACCAAAAGAAGAUCAUUCAUAGGGACUUAAAAGCUGAAAAUUUACUUUUAGAUUCAGAAAUGGUGAUAAAAAUAGCAGAUUUUGGCUUCAGCAAUGAAUUUACGCCAGGGAAUAAGUUAGAUACUUUCUGUGGUAGUCCACCUUAUGCUGCACCUGAACUCUUUCAAGGGAAAAAGUAUGAUGGUCCUGAGGUAGAUGUGUGGUCUUUGGGAGUCAUCCUGUACACCUUAGUUUCCGGCUCACUACCUUUUGAUGGGUCUAACUUAAAAGAACUUAGAGAACGGGUACUAAGGGGAAAAUAUCGUAUACCUUUCUACAUGUCCACUGACUGCGAGAAUCUGCUCAAGAAGUUCCUGGUACUCAAUCCAGCACGUAGGGCAUCUCUAGAGACAAUAAUGAAGGAUAGAUGGAUGAAUAUUGGUUAUGAAGAUGAUGAACUAAAGCCGUAUGUGGAACCAACCAUAGACCUUGAUGACAUUAAACGAAUUGAGAUUCUCAGUGAAAUGGGUUAUUCUCGAGCCGAAAUAGAAGACAGUUUGAAGAGUCAGAAGUAUGAUGAUGUAUAUGCUACCUACCUACUCCUUGGGCGGAGAUCUUCGGAUCUUGAGAGUGAUGGUUCCCGGUCAGGAAGCUCACUUUCCCUUCGCAACACCUGCUUAACGCCGCGAGGGCAGGAAUCUAGCGGAGCUGCCCAAUCUCCCUCGCACUCCCACCGGGGAGUUCACCGCUCAGUCUCUGCCACCAACUCCAAGCCCUCUCGCAGAGCAUCCUCCGGUGGGGAGACCAUUCGGGGUGGAGGCACAACUCCAGUCUCUACUAAUGCACACAACCAUGCGGGCACCAACAACUUCCGGCGGCAGAACACAGUUGAUACUGCAACCAUCAAGGAGAACACUGCUCGACUGGCUCAGGGGGGCGUCCCCACCACCUCAGCCUCACGCUCGGCAGCACUCAAGAACCAAAAUAUCACAGCCCUUGAUCCCUCAGGGGCACCCGGCAAAGCUGGAGGUGCAGGCGCAGCGACCAGUCCUGGUGUAGGGAAGUCUCGGGUACAGAAGAGUAACACCAUGACCAAUAGAACCAUAGGUAGUGGCUCAGCACGACGCUCAACGUACUCCUAUGAUGCCAAUAAGGCCUCCUCAACAGAAAAGACAAACAUAACAAACGUUCCAGAUUCUGCUAGUGGCGUGGCUGCGGUACCACUCCUCCCUGGGGCCCCUCCCUCCUCUGCGGUGGGGGCCCCGGUGGACAGCCUGUCCCCUGGCCACCCCUCGGCAGCCACUAACUCUCGACCUGCAAAAGGUCAUUUCAAGUCAGCGUCUAUUUCUGCGGGCACGGGUGCUGGUCCAGGUCGAGUGGAUCUCUCGCCCUUAGACCACCCCCUAGAUCCUUUACGGUCAAGAUCUGUCGCCUCCAGACCCAGUGGGGACCACAUGAGAAUGCUUAGCUCUUCAAACAAAACACCAGUGUCACCUAUAAGCUCAAGCAACCGCUUCCCCCGAAAUGUGCCCAGUCGAUCCACGUUCCACAGUGGACAGAAUCGGCAAAAUAACAAUACGUACAGGGGAGUUGGUGCCCCUCUAACUACACAGGAUACCAGUGCCCUCUCCUCCACGAGUAGGACCAGUUUCUUCUCAAAAUUGUCAUCUAAAUUUUCAAAACGCCCCCUGGAAACUCCACCUAAGCAAGGCGCUAGCACAUCCGUGAAUAAUGAUGAGCAGGUCAAGCCUCGGUCAUUGCGCUUCACGUGGAGCAUGAAAACGACCUCUUCACGAGACCCCAAUGACAUCAUGGCCGAGAUUCGCAAGGUAGACCACCCCCCGCACCAUGAAUAGCGACGACAAGUAUUAGAUGCAAACAACUGUGAUUAUGAGCAGCGAGAAAAGUUCUUGCUUCUCUGUGUCCAUGGAGACCCCAACACAGAUUCUUUAGUACAGUGGGAAAUUGAGGUGUGUAAGCUACCCAGACUUAGCCUGAAUGGUG